rnacentral:rRNA from 1 species
UACGUAGGGGGCAAGCGUUGUCCGGAAUUAUUGGGCGUAAAGAGCUCGUAGGCGGUUUGUCACGUCUGCUGUGAAAUCCCGAGGCUCAACCCCGAGCCUGCAGUCGAUACGGGCAGACUAGAGUGCUGUAGGGGAGACUGGAAUUCCUGGUGUGAGCGGUGAAAUGCGCAGAUAUCAGGAGGAACACCGGUGGCGAAGGCGGGUCUCUGGGCAGUAACUGACGCUGAGGAGCGAAAGCGUGGGGAGCGAACAGG